GGUUGUGGCUCAGUGGUGGAGUGCUUGCCUGGCAUCUGCAGGGCCCUGAGUUCAAUCCUCAGCACCA
rnacentral:tRNA from 1 species